rnacentral:rRNA from 1 species
UACGGGGGGGGCAAGCGUUGUUCGGAAUUACUGGGCGUAAAGGGCUCGUAGGCGGCCAACUAAGUCAGACGUGAAAUCCCUCGGCUUAACCGGGGAACUGCGUCUGAUACUGGAUGGCUAGAGGUUGGGAGAGGGAUGCGGAAUUCCAGGUGUAGCGGUGAAAUGCGUAGAUAUUGGGAAGAACACCGGUGGCGAAGGCGGCUAUCUGGACCGACAUUGACGCUGAGGCGCGAAAGCGUGGGGAGCAAACAGG